ACCCAGAAUAUACUCGUAAGAAACCAUAGACAGGUCCAGUCUUGCUGUAAUACCCGAAAAAUUCAAGUUAAUUUCCGAUGACGUUUUGGAAAUGAUUUCGUGGUCGUGGACACGAGUACGAAGCUUAGAGGAGUGUGGAAUUAGUUCGAACGAUUUUAUUUUGAAAACUGAACGUUUUAGGGGGGUCAAAGGAGUUGACUUUUUAUACAUUGGGAAAUUGGGAAAACUUCCUUCAUGAAAGUUGUAGAGCGCGUCGAUACGAGUUCGUGGACAUAUGGAACGUAAUAUUCGGAGUUCGUAUGAAUAAGUUACGAAUAUUUGAAAAUUGGGAUUUUCUAUAAAUAUGAAAAAAAAUCCGAAUAUUGCAAAUGAGGACAGAAUUUCUGGAACUCCAGAAAUUUCUCCCCAUUUCUCUCCCGAGCCCAGCCGCGACCCCCUCCCUUCGUCACCUUCGUUCUUCCUCAUCCGGCCACCGAUUGAUGUGAAACAAAGUGGGUUUUUCUGGUCUCGACCCCCUUUACGAGUUUGUAGAAGAAAUCGAAGUGAAAUACGAGCUGUAUGAGGCUCUACAAGGUCGAGAAGAGAGCCUCGUCGGAGACGAAAUCGCUCUUCCCCACUUUUUCUGGGCUCUACUUUGUCUGGCCAUAUCUUCCUCUACAGGCCUCCGAUCGACCUGAUUCCAAAAGCAAUUUUUCUCACCGUGAAGUUUUCUACAACUUUCCAGAAGACAUCGACUUGAGAUAACCAUCGUGGUGGCCGCUAGAAGACCGAGAAGCCGCACAGCCGAGCUGGAAAUCGUCUUCCUUCGCCACCUUGGUUCUCCCAGCUCCGGCCACUAUAGCUCGAGUUCUUUGAGGGCUUUUCUAGCCCAGAGGAAGUAGAAGCUAUCCCCAAGAAGGCUUGCAGCGAUUUGAUCCGGGGUGAUCGAAUUUUGAAGAUUGGGAAACUAGGGUUCUUCGGGUUUCAAAACUUGCGAGGUGAUUGACGGUCUCCCUUGGGUGAACGAUUUCGGUGUGUAUUGUGUUGAAUUGAAGACGCAGCGGGAAUAUCGAGGUGAGUAAAUCGCACAUGGUUCAUUCACGAACCGAAAUUCGGUGAUUUUAUUUAAUUGAGAAAUUGUGGAAAUUGUUUUACUAAAAUAAAUAUUUGUUUUAAAUUAUAUGGACUUGAUCGACUACGGUCCAUAGGUAAGUAAAAUGUAUUUAAACUAUAAAAAUGAAUUUCUAGAUUUUAUUGCAUGUGAACUAUAGUUGGUAUUAGUGGUCACUCUUGUGUGGGUGACUACGUAUAUAUAUAUUUACGUGGAAUAUAUAUUGGAUGGUGUGAUUUACUGAGUUA